rnacentral:lncRNA from 1 species
AUGAGGCCCGCUCCACCUUCGGCAGCCCCGUUUCGGGCGGAUUCACGACCAUUGCACACAAUUCAGCAGCAGCAACUGGACAAAAUGCAGCGAUCCGAGUCGCCCGUGCCUGCGAUGUCGGAGCACCAGCAUGUGCUCGGGGAGAGCUUUCUGGAGGGGCUGGUGACCAAGGAGAGUCCCCUGCUCUGCGAGUCCCGUGUGUCGGCUCUGCCUCCCAUCCCAGCAUUGAGUCUAAUUAGGAAAAACACAUUUUCUGAACAGUUUGAGCACCGUUUGUGCCCCCCUCACCCAGCUCAGUGUGUCUGCUUAGCAGAGAGAUGGGGAAACAGYGUCCAAAUAAAUACGUGCUCAACCCAGCAUUGGGCCAGGCCAGCGAGCAUCCAGCCCUCUCCUCUGCCUCAUCAAAAUCCUGCCAGGGUAAUACUGAUCGCUAAUAUUGAUCCAUCCUGGGGCUUAUGUGUCUCCCAUUACUGGCGGAUAUUAUCCUGUGCUGAUCUGCAGCCCUCCUCGCCCGGCUCCCCUCCGCAGGAGCAGGGACGUGCCGUUAUCGCCCUGUCACAGACGAGGAGGCUAAAGCUGACUGCACAGCUCUGCUGCUCGCGUGCUCUCCUCUACCGGGCUGCCGGGAAAAUCGUUAAGCGGCCGCCGUGGCUGUUGGAAGGYGAUGAUGCCUUGGAAAUAAAACCUCAGCCCAUGCGUAGUUCAGCCUCAGCAAACUCUUCCUCAGAAGCAGGCUCGUCCUGGACCAAGAGACCGCCAUGGAAGCAGGGUGAUGAACAUGAGCUGCAUCARCCCACCUCCAUGCUGCCGGGGUGCCUGCCCGCACCAUGGGCACCUGGGUUUGCUGCUGCUUUUUUAGGUUUAAAGGUGGGCUUCGCACCUGAAAACUUGUUUUCUUGUUUUGGUUUGUGUUUUUUCCCCAAUUAUAUCAUUUUGCUAGCCCGCCAAAUUAUUACGUCUCUCUCUCUGUCUCUCUGUCUGUCUGUCUCUCUCUCUCCUCUCUCUGCAGUGCUUACUCACUUAACUUGA